AUCAGUUUAUUAUUUGUGAUUUUUUAUUCCUUUGAUAUAUGAUCACGUGAAAGCUGCAGAGUGGUGACAUCUCUUUCAGUUUUCAUCUUCAUUUUGACUUUUUGAUGAACUUUUCUAUUACUAAAUUUUUUAAAGAUCUGAACUUGCUGAUUUUCUUACUUAUUCUUUGUUGGACAGAUACUGUUAAUCACACGUUUUCUGCAGCAUGAGCACCAUCAUGGCCGGCCUAUCAAUCAAGAAUGUCUUUGACUCUCGUCAAAUGCGUAUAUCAGUACAGGGAAGUGGGGUAUACCUAACUAGGGAACGAGGGUGCAGUAUCGACCCACUUUACGUUGAUGAUCCUCUUUUUCCAACAAAUAAUGUUGGACGAAACUGUUUUCGCAUACAUCAAUGUAUCAAGCUGUUGAUGUUAGCUUGGUUUUAUUGAAUGCAAUUGCGUGGUGCAGGCAUUUGCAGAUGCUUAUUCAAUGUUGCAGAGUGAACUCAUGUGCUUUCCCGAUGAUGAGACACUUGCUAGGCCCCCCUGUGGAUUACUUCCUAAGAUUGUUCCGAGCAUUGGUCAUUUGAUGGGGGGUCCUAAUUAUUAGAACAAUGAUUUUGAAUAUUAAGGUACCUGGUGAGGUCUCUGAGAGUAAACAUCUUAGAACUGCUGCCCACACCCAACCUAGCACGACCUUUGGAAUGUCCCUUAAUAUCUAAAAUUUCUUCCCAUAGAACUCCCAAGAACAUCUCCAGCAUCAUCUUCUUUUCAUUAGAAUCAUCAAAACCAAGCUGAUGCUUGGAUCAGUGAUGGUACAAAACAGAGAUAUAAAUAAGACGACGAUGAAAAUUAAACAAUAACAAGGUUAUAUGCCUGUUUAAUAUAAAAUCAGCGAUGAUUGAUAAACCUGAUUAGAGAUUCCAAUCUUACUCCAGGGAGAGAGAAUCAAGAAAAGUGAAAGAGUGAAGAUUUUGGAAAUAAUGAAAGGGCUCAUCUUUGUUUAAUUUUUAUGGGAAAUGAUAAAAAAUUGGAUGAUUGGCAUAGUUUUUCUCUCUGAGAGACCUAGAAAGCCUGGGAUUGCCAUUCUGCUUGUUGUCAAUGUAGGUGGUGGUUGCAUCUGGAAUUACAAUCUCAGGAAGUGGUUAGUGGUUAAAGGUUUGCUAAGGUACAAUCUUACCAAUGGUGGUUUGCCAGAGAUGAGGAUCGGCCAUGUUGAGGAUAUUGGGGCAGUGGGGUUUAAGAAUUUUUUCCUUUUGGAAAGCGAACAUUAUUUUGGAUAGCUUCGACAGGGAAUAAAGACGUGCAGAGUGGAAUGGUGGGAUCAAUCAUUUAGUUCCUUUGUUGUCGCUCUUUGUCCCUUUUAUUGUAGCCUUGAGUGCCUGCUUUUCUAUAACGACUGAAUUGCACGGGACAUAUAUUGAGCAAGAGCAAAUUGCGUGGAUUUUACGGAGGGAAGACGACGUUGUGAUGAUGGCCAUGCACCUGAUGUACUGUCAUCUGUUGAAAGACGCAUCCCGUCCCGGUGAAAUUAUAUGAUUUGACAGAUUGAAGACGCGAAACAAGGGUUGUGUGGUUGAAGAUAUCAAUGGAGGUUUAGCAAAGAAGCACAGGUUAGAAAUCACCCAAUCAGUGAUCUCUCUCUUGCUUAGAAGGUUCGUUCAUGGCUGGCUCGGCACACCAAGAUGAAAUAUUUAUGGACAGUGGUUGUGCUAAUCAUGUAUAGUUCAAUUGUGAGUAAUUUGUAGCUUUUGAUGUUUGAUAAUUAUAUUAUUUAUAUUAAGUUUGAUCAGAAUAAAAUGGAGUUCUUAUUUAAAUCA